rfam:Danio rerio chromosome 4, GRCz11 reference primary assembly.
GCAUUGGUUGUUCAGUGGUAGAAUUCUCGCCUGACACGCAGGAGACCAGGGUCCGAUUCCUGGCCAAUCCU